rnacentral:lncRNA from 1 species
UGGAACUCUGGGUCACCAUGAACAAGCUCAACUGCUCUGAGACCAUCAGGCAAUGAGAAAGCCCAAGUCACCGGGAAAGGGAUGCAUAGGCACUCCCAUUGACAGUACCAGCUGAGGCCAGCCUUCAAGUCAUUCCAGGCUCUGUGCCAGAUAUAAUGUAAGCAUCUCAAGGGCAGGAGCCUUGUGUGGUCCAUGCUGCAUCUCAAGUACCCAGGACAAUGCCUGGAACAUAGGAGGGCCUCUGAAGAUGUAUGUUGGGUGUUGCUGAUGGUGGCAUCCUAGAGUAGAGAAAAGGACUGAAGAGUGGAAAAAAAUCCCAAGGUGUCUGAAGGAUGGUCUCAAACGUGACUAGUUUUUCAAGGAUCACCACUUCGUGUAAUCUCUGUGGAUGCCAUUCAUAUUGAAUUCUAUGUAAAUGGCGCCCCCUGGAGGAGUGGAACAGACUGCCACCCAUUCUAAAUGAAUGAUCUAGCACUAUGUGUACAUGAUUCCUGUGCCCCUGGAGACUCCUCCUCCCACACUAAACUAGCAAUACUGAGGACCAGUCCCUGGGACCUAUGAGACGGCUAUCUCUGAGAGUCCAGCCCUUGAGACAGAUUUUCCUAGAAAACACUCCAACUGACCCAAGACCUUCAAUUCUUGAAACAAGUAGGGAGGAGAAGGUGGUAAAGAAAUCCAAGUGCUAUUGUGAUGUGUGUCUUCCCUCUCUAUUUUGGGAUGAAAUUAUUUCAAGAUUUGAUUUACACAGUAGAAAUCGUGACUGUAAGCUUUGGACAGGUAUCUAGGCACUUACUAGUGUUCCCUCUUGUCUCGAGAAUGAGACAGCCAGGAGUGCCAGAUAUUUCCCAGUCUUGCCUCCGCUCUCAUAUCUAGAAACAAGAGCCUCCCAAAGGUCUCUCAUUCCUCAAGGUCCAUGGGAAGCCCAGUGGCUCAAUGGGAAAGCGUCAGUGACAAAUAUGUGUCUUUGUGAGAGAGCAAGAAGUCAGUCUCUUGGUUUGAACCAUUUGGUCUAGAAGACUAUCAUUCUACCAGGAGCAUAAAUUAUUAUUCUAUCAGGGGCAUAAAACCCCAAAGAAGUUUUGCAUAAGACACCAAACUCCAUGUC